rnacentral:rRNA from 1 species
AGGAUUAACGCUGGCGGCGUGCCUGACACAUGCAAGUCGAACGAGGCCGCAAGGCCGAGUGGCGGACGGGUGAGUAACACGUGACCAACCAACCUCGAAGUUGGGAAUAGCUCUGCGAAAGUAGGGGUAAUACCGAAUGUGGCCCAGGGCGGGCAUCCGCCUUGGUCUAAAGAUUCAUCGCUUCGAGACGGGGUCGCGGCCUAUUAGCUUGUUGGUGAGGUAACGGCUCACCAAGGCGAUGAUGGGUAGCUGGUCUGAGAGGACGACCAGCCACACUGGGACUGAGACACGGCCCAGACUCCUACGGGAGGCAGCAGUGAGGAAUCUUCCGCAAUGGGCGAAAGCCUGACGGGGCAACGCCGCGUGUGGGAUGAAGACUCUAGGGUUGUAAACCACUGUCGGAGGGGACGAUCGUGACGGUACCCUCCAAGAAACGCCCCGGCUAACUACGUGCCAGCAGCCGC